rnacentral:lncRNA from 1 species
GGGGGUAGUGGUGCAAAGGUUUUAACCCAGGGCCUUGUGCACACUAAGGGGGCACUGUACUGUUGAACUAUGCACCGCCCCCCAAUUUCUCUCUCUGCUUCCUGCCUUUGACAGCUCCCUCCAUUUCCCACCAUUCUUGUGCUCUCCAUCCAGUGCCCCCUCCCCCAUGGCCUUGGGUAGCACACGUGUUUCUGAGCACCUGUGAGCCCACCCUCACCCCCACCCUCACCUGCCUUCCCUCAGCACCAGGGCAGUGUACUCCCUCUUCCUCCUGGAGCCGAUUCUCUGCCUGGCUGUGGGGCGCCUCCUCCUGGGGCCUCUUCACUCCUUGUUCUCUGGGCUGCAGUUUUCUAAUCUGCCUCUGACCAUCUGUGUGAGUCUCCCUCGGCCCCCGCCCACUAGAAUAGUAUAAAGCCAAACAAAGAGGUAUCGGUUUGUUGGGGAGCUGCUUUCCUCAGUGGGAGACUGUACCCCGACAGCCUUGCUGUGGGGCAUUCGGCAAGCUUCCAUCUUGGCCUGACCCUUGCUUAGCAGCCAAGUGGGAUAGAGACAGAAAUGGGGGGUUUCCCUCUAGACAGGAAGUCACCACCUUGCUAGCAUUUUUCAGAUUCACAUUUGACCCAGAUGCUGCCACUCCUCUGCUCCAGUGUGACCCUCACCUGGGACGUGUGAACUUGUUUACGGAUGUGCCUUCCUCUGGGUCAGCCUGUUCAUGGGUACAGUUCUCUUACUUAAUUGUACAGGAAGGCUCAUAGAAGGUCAGAGGUGCAGGGGACUUCAUAAGUCACCUGAGAGCAUGCUCUGUUUUCCUGAUAAGUCCAGAGAGCACGAUGUUCGUGGAGAGAGCAGGCGCCAGGGAGGGAGGGAGAGUGUGCCACUAUCCCUCUUCCGGUGUUCUCCCUAUCAUGGUGCGCUGCCUCUGCUAGUCAAGAGCCUCCCAUCUUUGAUGACCCAGGGUCAGGUACUAAGCGGGGCUCUGGAGCCACAGUCAGGGACUUGGGCAGGGAUUAACAGCCCGCCAGCCUACCAUCUAGUUUAUGGCCUUCAAGCUAAAUAUGUUUUAACAUUUUCUAAUGGCUGAAAAAAAUUGAGAGGAAUAUCUACUAGCACAUGAAAAUUAAGAAAUUAAAAUUCAUGCAUCUGUAUAUAAAGUUUGGUUGGAGGACGGCUACACGCAUUCACUGAUUCAUUCAUUGCUUCACCAUCACGUGUUUUGUCUUGGCCAUGCUCCUUCAACAAGGCAGAGUUGGGUCAUUGAAAGAGACUGGUUUAAGGCUUGCCGAUUUGGCUCUGGGAAGUCAUCGUGUUUGGGCUUUUUGUUAAAUUGGAGAAACAUAAAGGCUUUAGAAGAUUGGGGGCCCUUUCUUGGUCACAGAGGCUAUGUGUAUGCACAUUUUUAUGGGAGGACCCGUGGAUCUAAGGCUUUAACCCAUCCAGGUUGAGAACCAUGGUCCUUGCUGAGAACCUGGAAGGCCAGCUUUGAUUGGUCACUGCUCUUGCGCAGGUGUUCCUGUGGGCCGCGAUGCAUUUAGCCUUCACACUGAGGCUCCUCAGCAGAAGCCCAUGUUCCAGUUUCCUGUAGGAACAAACAAAUAAGCAACAGCAACAAAAAAGUCCCAAGGGUGGCUUUGGUUAAAACCACAAGGGACUUGGAAGCAUAGAGUCUUCCAUUAUUUUCUCCUGGUCUGUGGCAUUAGGGGGAUUGGUGUGGGAGUCAUGCUGUCAUUCCAUGGCCUUUCUCCAGAAGCUACUGUCCUCUUCAUCCCCUCUUGCUCCCUUCCGCCUGGUUGUUGGCCCUGCGACCUGUGUAUGGCUGAGGGCAUAGGACCAGUGGUGAGUAGCAUACCCUGUAGCAUAGCCUGUGUUGAAGUCACACUUGCACAUUUAUAAGUUAGAGAAUAAUCCUUCCUGCCAUUGGAGUGUCC